GACGCAGUGGCCGAGUGGUUAAGGCGAUGGACUGCUAAUCCAUUGGGGUUUCCCCGCGUGAGUUCGAAUCUCACCUGCGUCG
rnacentral:tRNA from 1 species